GCCGUCAUUGGCCAGUGGUAGGCCCCUCUCGUUGUGUUCUGGUGGAGUAAAUGACAGGGUACGAGCGCUACGGAGGUUCGAUUCCUCCCGAUGGCA